UACGGAGGGUGCAAGCGUUAUCCGGAUUUAUUGGGUUUAAAGGGUCCGUAGGCGGACUUAUAAGUCAGCGGUGAAAUCCUAUUGCUCAACAAUAGAACUGCCAUUGAUACUGUAAGUCUUGAGUAUAGUUGAGGUAGCUGGAAUAAGUAGUGUAGCGGUGAAAUGCAUAGAUAUUACUUAGAACACCAAUUGCGAAGGCAAGUUACCAAGUUAUAACUGACGCUCAUGCACGAAAGCGUGGGGAUCAAACAGG
rnacentral:rRNA from 1 species